UGCAGCAACGCCGCGUGAGGGACGACGGCCCCCGGGUUGUAAACCUCUUUUAGCAGGGAAGAAGCGAAAGUGACGGUACCUGCAGAAAAAGCACCGGCUAACUACGUGCCAGCAGCCGCGGUAAUACGUAGGGUGCAAGCGUUGUCCGGAAUUAUUGGGCGUAAAGAGCUCGUAGGCGGUUUGUCGCGUCUGCUGUGAAAUCCCGAGGCUCAACCUCGGGUCUGCAGUGGGUACGGGCAGACUAGAGUGCGGUAGGGGAGAUUGGAAUUCCUGGUGUAGCGGUGGAAUGCGCAGAUAUCAGGAGGAACACCGAUGGCGAAGGCAGAUCUCUGGGCCGUAACUGACGCUGAGGAGCGAAAGGGUGGGGAGCAAACAGGCUUAGAUACCCUGGUAGUCCACCCCGUAAACGUUGGGCGCUAGAUGUGGGGACCAUUCCACGGUUUCCGUGUCGUAGCUAACGCAUUAAGCGCCCCGCCUGGGGAGUACGGCCGCAAGGCUAAAACUCAAAGGAAUUGACGGGGGCCCGCACAAGCGGCGGAGCAUGCGGAUUAAUUCGAUGCAACGCGAAGAACCUUACCAAGGCUUGACAUAUACGAGAACGCUGCAGAAAUGUGGAACUCUUUGGA
rnacentral:rRNA from 1 species